GGACUACCGGGGUAUCUAAUCCCAUUCGCUACCCACGCUUUUGUGUUUCAGUGUCAGGAGUGCGCCAAUGUGCUGCCUUCGCUUUUGGUAUUCCCCAUAAUAUCAACGGAUUUUACCCCUACACUAUGAGUUCUACACAUCUCUCGCAUCCUCUAGUUUUACCGUUUCCCAUGCAUGUUCCCAGUUGAGCCGGGAGCUUUAACACAAGACUAAUAAAACCACCUACACACCCUUUACGCCCAAUAAUUCCGGAUAACGCUUGGGGCACUCGUAUUACCGCGGCGGCUGGCA
rnacentral:rRNA from 1 species